GAUGAACGCUAGCUACAGGCUUAACACAUGCAAGUCGCGGGGCAGCAUGGGGGUUGCUUGCAAUCCCCGAUGGCGACCGGCGCACGGGUGAGUAACGCGUAUCCAACCUGCCCUUCACCACGGGAUAACCCGGCGAAAGUCGGACUAAUACCGUAUGUUGUCCAUUGACGGCAUCCGAUUUGGACGAAAGGCUUGGCGGUGAGGGAUGGGGAUGCGUCCGAUUAGCCAGACGGCGGGGUAACGGCCCACCGUGGCUACGAUCGGUAGGGGUUCUGAGAGGGAGGUCCCCCACACUGGAACUGAGACACGGUCCAGACGCCUACGGGAGGCAGCAGUGAGGAAUAUUGGUCAAUGGGCGUAAGCCUGAACCAGCCAAGUAGCGUGCAGGAUGACGGCCCUAUGGGUUGUAAACUGCUUUUAUGCGGGGAUAAAGUGGCCCACGGGUGGGCUUUUGCAGGUACCGCAUGAAUAAGGACCGGCUAAUUCCGUG
rnacentral:rRNA from 1 species